CGCCCUGCCCGGCCCGGCGGGGGUAGGAUGCUCCCCGCUCUCGCUGCAGCCGGGAUUUGCAAAUGCUCAGCCCUUCCCCGGAGCGAUGUUUCUCCUUGGCAAGUGGCAGGACCAGAGGCAGGUUCCAGGUUCAGAUCUUCCCUUGGAUCCACACUAAGUUGCAGGAUUUCUGCCUGGUCCAUAGUUUGAAGACACAAACACACAGCAUGGAAAUACCAGCACAGGUGAACAGAAAAAAUCAGCGACGGAAGAACCAUAGAAUAAAAAGGCAAACAGCACAUUUAGGUGUGCAAAGAUGUGCCAGAGGAAAGAAGAACAGCAGGUGGAUCCUGACUCUGCUGGCAGAGAUUUCAGAAGCCUGACGAUGGGUAUGUGGGAGGGCAAGAGGGGACAGCUAUGAAUUGCUGCUGCACUCUUUCAGACACAGGUGGCACCAGUUUGGGUGUUAGGAUUCAGGCACAGAAGACAAAAUAGGCAGAUUCCUACCAAUAGGAAAAUUUUCUUGAAACUUUGAAGCAGUGAAAUUGUUUUAACGGGAUGUUUAAAGCAGAGGCAUGAAGAAUUAUUUAUUAUUGAGGUGAGUCAGGACAUUUCUAAUAGUUCCUACUCUCUCUCUCAUCUCUGUGCCUUUCCUAUCUACAGGAAAGCUGAGACUGAUCCUCUAGGAUCUGCCUCAGUUACAAAGAGCAGCUUAAAAUACGCUUCUCUCAAAUUCUUUUCCAAAUGUCUGGCACAGAGUAGAAUCACAGCACCAGAAACACUGAGCCUCAUCCAUAGAAAAUUGAAGGUAUGAGAGAAGAAGAUAUUUUGCAGAAGGUCAUUUUAUACAUAACUUAUGGCAAAGGCUUAGGUCUGACUUCCUCAAUAUUCUGGUGGUUGUAGGGCAAGUCACAGGCAAUGCAUCAUGCAGAGAGGAGGCAGUUCAUAUUCUGAAACAUGAAGGUCUGGCUUCCCAAGAGGAGAAAGAAGAGUUUGGCUCAUUUCUUUUUACAGUCUGUACUA